rnacentral:rRNA from 1 species
UACAGAGGUCUCAAGCGUUGUUCGGAUUCAUUGGGCGUAAAGGGUGCGUAGGCUGGCGUCGUAAGUCGGGUGUGAAAUUUCGGAGCUUAACUCCGAAACUGCAUUCGAUACUGCGGUGCUUGAGGACUGGAGAGGAGACUGGAAUUUACGGUGUAGCAGUGAAAUGCGUAGAGAUCGUAAGGAAGACCAGUGGCGAAGGCGGGUCUCUGGACAGUUCCUGACACUGAGGCACGAAGGCCCAGGGGAGCAAACGGG